UAAUACGGAGGUGGCAAGCGUUGUUCGGAAUCAUUGGGUGUAAAGGGCAUGUAGGCGGUUUGGUAAGUCGGAUGUGAAAUUCUAUGGCUCAACCAUAGAAGUGCAUUCGAAACUGUCAGGCUAGAGUGCGGGUGAAGAAGAUGGAAUUCCCGGUGUAAGGGUGAAAUCUGCAGAUAUCGGGAAGAACACCAGUGGCGAAGGCGGUCUUCUAACCCUCUACUGACGCUGAAAUGCGAAAGCCAGGGGAGCGAACGGGAUUAGAUACCCCGGUAGUCCUGGCCGUAAACGAUGGACACUAGGUGUCGGAGGGGUUAAACCUUUCGGUGCCGCAGCUAACGCAUUAAGUGUCCCACCUGGGGAGUACGGUCGCAAGGCUG
rnacentral:rRNA from 1 species